rnacentral:rRNA from 1 species
CAGCCGCCGCGGGAAAACGAAGGGGGCUAGCGUUGCUCGGAAUGACUGGGCGUAAAGGGCGCGUAGGCGGUUCGUACAGUUGGAUGUGAAAUUCCUGGGCUUAACCUGGGGGCUGCAUUCAAUACGUGCGGGCUUGAGUGUGGAAGAGGGUUGUGGAAUUCCCAGUGUAGAGGUGAAAUUCGUAGAUAUUGGGAAGAACACCGGUGGCGAAGGCGGCAACCUGGUCCAUAACUGACGCUGAGGCGCGAAAGCGUGGGGAGCAAACAGGAUUAGAUACCCGCGUAGUCCCUGUCUCUUAUAC